rnacentral:rRNA from 1 species
UGGCGAACGGGUGAGUAACACGUGGGUAACCUGCCCUUGGCUUUGGGAUAAGCCCUGGAAACGGGGUCUAAUACCGGAUAUGACUGACUCUCGCAUGGGGGUUGGUGGAAAGUUCCGGCGGCCAGGGAUGGGCCCGCGGCCUAUCAGCUUGUUGGUGGGGUGAUGGCCUACCAAGGCGACGACGGGUAGCCGGCCUGAGAGGGCGACCGGCCACACUGGGACUGAGACACGGCCCAGACUCCUACGGGAGGCAGCAGUGGGGAAUAUUGCACAAUGGGCGAAAGCCUGAUGCAGCGACGCCGCGUGAGGGAUGACGGCCUUCGGGUUGUAAACCUCUUUCGACAGGGACGAAGCGUAAGUGACGGUACCUGUAGAAGAAGCACCGGCUAACUACGUGCCAGCAGCCGCGGUAAUACGUAGGGUGCGAGCGUUGUCCGGAAUUAUUGGGCGUAAAGAGCUCGUAGGCGGUUUGUCGCGUCGACUGUGAAAACCUGGGGCUUAACUCUGGGCCUGCAGUCGAUACGGGCAGACUUGAGUUCGGUAGGGGAGACUGGAAUUCCUGGUGUAGCGGUGAAAUGCGCAGAUAUCAGGAGGAACACCGGUGGCGAAGGCGGGUCUCUGGGCCGAUACUGACGCUGAGG